CCUACGGGAGACAGCAGUAGGGAAUCUUCCACAAUGGGCGAAAGCCUGAUGGAGCAACGCCGCGUGGGUGAAGAAGGUCUUCGGAUCGUAAAACCCUGUUGUUAGAGAAGAAAGUGCGUGAGAGUAACUGUUCACGUUUCGACGAUAUCUAACCAGAAAGCCACGGCUAACUACGUGCCCGCAGCCGCGGUAAUACGUAGGUGGCAAGCGUUAUCCGGAUUUAUUGGGCGUAAAGGGAACGCAGGCGGUCUUUUAAGUCUGAUGUGAAAGCCUUCGGCUUAACCGGAGUAGUGCAUUGGAAACUGGGAGACUUGAGUGCAGAAGAGGAGAGUGGAACUCCAUGUGUAGCGGUGAAAUGCGUAGAUAUAUGGAAGAACACCAGUGGCGAAAGCGGCUCUCUGGUCUGUAACUGACGCUGAGGUUCGAAAGCGUGGGUAGCAAACAGGAUUAGAUACCCGUGUAGUC
rnacentral:rRNA from 1 species